rnacentral:rRNA from 1 species
UGGGGAAUAUUGCACAAUGGGCGCAAGCCUGAUGCAGCCAUGCCGCGUGUGUGAAGAAGGCCUUCGGGUUGUAAAGCACUUUCAGCGAGGAGGAAGGUGGUGAACUUAAUACGUUCAUCAAUUGACGUUACUCGCAGAAGAAGCACCGGCUAACUCCGUGCCAGCAGCCGCGGUAAUACGGAGGGUGCAAGCGUUAAUCGGAAUUACUGGGCGUAAAGCGCACGCAGGCGGUUUGUUAAGUCAGAUGUGAAAUCCCCGGGCUCAACCUGGGAACUGCAUUUGAAACUGGCAAGCUAGAGUCUCGUAGAGGGGGGUAGAAUUCCAGGUGUAGCGGUGAAAUGCGUAGAGAUCUGGAGGAAUACCGGUGGCGAAAGGCGGCCCCCUGGACGAAGACUGACGCUCAGGUGCGAAAAGCGUGGGGAGCAAAACAGGAUUAGAUACCCUGGUAGUCCACGCUGUAAAACGAUGUCGAUUUUGGAGGUUGUGCCCUUGAGGCGUGG